rnacentral:rRNA from 1 species
UACGUAGGGUGCGAGCGUUAAUCGGAAUUACUGGGCGUAAAGCGUGCGCAGGCGGUUUUGUAAGCCAGGUGUGAAAUCCCCGGGCUCAACCUGGGAAUGGCAUUUGGGACUGCAAGGCUGGAGUGCGGCAGAGGAGACUGGAAUUCCUGGUGUAGCAGUGAAAUGCGUAGAUAUCAGGAGGAACACCGAUGGCGAAGGCAGGUCUCUGGGAGCUGACAC